GUUACUUCUUUGUUACAGCUGUAAAUGGGGUGUCAUGAGGGUACACGUUAGAAUCCAAACAAUUCCCCAUAGAAUGUGAGAGGAAAUGGAUUCAAGGACCAUCGGCUUCAUUUAUUGGAAAGAAUUAAGUGUCUCUACGCAUUGCCACGCAUCUCGCCACGCAUCUCAUCCGAGCAGAACUGAGCCCGGCUGGGCUUUCUGCCCCGCUUUGACUCGGUGAACGACAGCAUCCUUCUUGGGAGGCAUGUGAUGCUGGACUAAGCGUGCUGCCUGCAGAGAGAGCUCAUGGACUGAUCCUAAAGAAGUAAGGGAAAAUAUGGUCUUCCCUAAUGACAUCAUCACCCAAGAAGAAAGUGAACGCUAAGACCAGAACCUUCCUCAGAAGAGAUGCUUGAAUAAUGUUGAGGAAAGCGGUUCUACAGGAAGAGGGAGCUGUAGCAUGUAGUUUGGAAGAAAUGGACGAUGACUAAAGAGAAUUUGGAGACAUUCAGGAAGCAGCUCACACAGACUUUGUGAAGAGCCUGCUAAAAUCAUUUUAUCUGUCAAGAACACAGGGA